CGCGUUUUUCGCAGCGGAGCUCGACCGCCCCGCGACGAAAUGAUCGCCUUCAUCGAUGCGCAUCGCGAUCAGUUCGGGGUCGAGCUCAUUUGCCGUGUUCUGCGGGCAGCAAUCGCCG
rfam:Mycobacterium thermoresistibile ATCC 19527 contig33, whole genome shotgun sequence.